rnacentral:rRNA from 1 species
AAGACCUUGCGCUUUUGGAGCGGCCGAUGUCUGAUUAGCUUGUUGGUGAGGUAAAAGCUUACCAAGGCUUCGAUCAGUAGCUGGUCUGAGAGGACGGCCAGCCACACUGGGACUGAGACACGGCCCAGACUCCUACGGGAGGCAGCAGUGGGGAAUUUUGGACAAUGGGGGCAACCCUGAUCCAGCCAUGCCGCGUGAGUGAAGAAGGCCUUCGGGUUGUAAAGCUCUUUCAGCCGGAACGAAACGGUUACGGUUAAUACCCGUGACUACUGACGGUACCGGAAGAAGAAGCACCGGCUAACUACGUGCCAGCAGCCGCGGUAAUACGUAGGGUGCAAGCGUUAAUCGGAAUUACUGGGCGUAAAGCGUGCGCAGGUGGUUUUGUAAGUCAGAUGUGAAAGCCCCGGGCUCAACCUGGGAACU